rnacentral:rRNA from 1 species
UACGUAGGGUGCGAGCGUUAAUCGGAAUUACUGGGCGUAAAGCGUGCGCAGGCGGUCUGUUAAGACAGAUGUGAAAUCCCCGGGCUUAACCUGGGAACUGCAUUUGUGACUGGCAGGCUAGAGUAUGGCAGAGGGGGGUAGAAUUCCACGUGUAGCAGUGAAAUGCGUAGAGAUGCGGAGGAACACCGAUGGCGAAGGCAGCCCCCCUGGGGCU